CUAAGGAACAGAAUCUAACACAAGGAAAACAAGAAGGACAGAUAAAAAACAACCAAUGGCACAAAACAAAAAACCAAAACAGAAUGCAAACCACAAAACUCAGGAACUAGAAAAACUAAUACGAAUGAAACAAGAUCUGAGUCCAGAACUACACUAAAGAUUUCUGGCUUGAUUUGUAGGUUUAAGGUGGAUUCAAGCAAGGGGGAUCAUGUGGAUAUUGAAUAGAAGAGGCCUAAGAAUUGACCCUUGAGGGGUGGGACAUACCAGCAACAGCCGAUCACCUCUGAUUGCAUCCGCUUCUUAAGCGGGUCACCAGCAACUUCCAUUGCGAAGUAUAGUUGCCAUGGUUAUGUGCCUUACUGAGCAUUUCUUUGUUCAUUGUCUUCCCUGUUAUCCUUGCCUCCUGCAUCCUGCCUGCCCUGCCUGCCUACCUACUCCCGCUUGCCCUACCUGCCUGCCUUCUCCUGCAAUCCCGACCCAUCUCCACUGCUCAUCCUCCCCUCUUGUUAUCUUGUCCUGUGCUUGCUCGUGGAACUGA